rnacentral:lncRNA from 1 species
GGGCCCGGCCCGCAAGAGUCUUGGAAGACACUGGGUGCCAUCGCUACCCCUCCGGGCCACACGCUGAUGUCCUGAAAUGGAGAGGCGCUGGUACUCAAGGCGCAUGAGGCGGCCACGGCUCCGCGCCUGCAGCAGCGUCAGCACCUUGGCCAGGCGCUGGUCACGGAGCUCUUCCAGGACGCCUAGAAGCCCAGCCUUGAAGAACACCUGGGGGCGGAGAGGAUGUCUGCUGGAGGCAUUUCAAACCUGAUACACGCAAAACAGAGCUCAAACCAGUAUCCCUUCACCUCUCCUCCAAAUCAAAAAACCCUGUUUUUGUAGCUCAGUAAAUCUACCACUGGUAGCUCCCAGGUUGCUCACUCCCAAAA